rnacentral:lncRNA from 1 species
GGAGUGGGAAAGAGGUGGCAUCGGCAGCUCAAGACUGAUUUUUCUAUCUCUUCAGUGCCUCUUUCAACAAUAUGAAGUUCAAACCAGGUUUUGUGCAAAUAUCUGCUGAGUGAACUACUUAUUUGAAAAGACAUCAUUGGUUAAUAUUCCCUUUUGCUCAUUGAAAUCUCAAAGACUACAGACCCCGCACAAGACAUUCUGACAUUCCCGUCUUUGAAAUGAAUGACAGCAAUGAUAAAUAUGGCUCACCUCCAGAGAUACAGAUCUCACAACUUCAUAUUUUUAAUAUAAAUUAUUAAUCUGAGAAGCAGAGAGAGAUAAGACCCAUGAUAAUCAAGCCAUAAACAGAUGCAUUUACUAGCUGAAUGGCCAACAAUGGAAUUCAACAAACCCAUCUUGAGCACGGCAGCCAGGAGUGUGGUGCAAUUCCAUUAGAUGAAAGAGAUCUACACAUUCAGAAGCACAUGAUUCUUCCCCCUUCCAUGAUUCCAGUGGCCAAUAGACAAACUACAAUAAAGCCAUGCCCUGACUGGAUGUGCCUAACAUUUGUCUGGUGCUUAAAGGAGUUGGCUGCAUGCAUGGGAUGGAGAAGGAUUCAACAUUUAAUGGCAGUUAGAAUCAAAUUUUUAACGCAAGAAGGCAGAAGGAAUCCACCGAAAUAAAUGUUGGAAAGUCACCAAAAAUAGUUCUCCAAGUCAGAAGCGGUGCAAAAGCUGCCUCAGCUCUUGGUGGAUUUUCAAUUUCUCCCAGCCAUCUCUGUUUCUCUAAAGGUUUCUGAAGACAGUGGGUAUGUGGCAAAAUUCUGCAAUUCUAUAUUAAGAUAAACUGUUAGAUCAAU